CAAACUGAAGAUGGCGACCGGCGCACGGGUGAGUAACACGUAUCCAACCUGCCGAUAACUCUGGAAUAGCCUUUCGAAAGAAAGAUUAAUACCGGAUAGUAUACGAAUAUCGCAUGAUAUUUUUAUUAAAGAAUUUCGGUUAUCAAUGGGGAUGCGUUCCAUUAGUUUGUUGGCGGGGUAACGGCCCACCAAGACUACGAUGGAUAGGGGUUCUGAGAGGAAGGUCCCCCACAUUGGAACUGAGACACGGUCCAAACUCCUACGGGAGGCAGCAUG
rnacentral:rRNA from 1 species